rnacentral:rRNA from 1 species
GUGGGGAAUAUUGGACAAUGGGCGAAAGCCUGAUCCAGCCAUGCCGCGUGUGUGAAGAAGGUCUUCGGAUUGUAAAGCACUUUAAGUUGGGAGGAAGGGCAGUAAGUUAAUACCUUGCUGUUUUGACGUUACCGACAGAAUAAGCACCGGCUAACUUCGUGCCAGCAGCCGCGGUAAUACGAAGGGUGCAAGCGUUAAUCGGAAUUACUGGGCGUAAAUCGCGCGUAGGUGGUUUUGUAAGUUGGAGGUGAAAUCCCCGGGCUCAACCUGGGAACUGCCUCCAAAACUGCAUGACUAGAGUACGGUAGAGGGUAGUGGAAUUUCCUGUGUAGCGGUGAAAUGCGUAGAUAUAGGAAGGAACACCAGUGGCGAAGGCGACUACCUGGACUGAUACUGACACUGAGGUGCGAAAGCGUGGGGAGCAAACAGGAUUAGAAACCCUGGUAGUGC